rnacentral:rRNA from 1 species
CGCGGCCUAUCAGCUUGUUGGUGAGGUAACGGCUCACCAAGGCAUCGACGGGUAGCUGGUCUGAGAGGAUGAUCAGCCACACUGGGACUGAGACACGGCCCAGACUCCUACGGGAGGCAGCAGUGGGGAAUAUUGCACAAUGGGCGCAAGCCUGAUGCAGCAACGCCGCGUGCGGGAAGAAGGCCCUAGGGUUGUAAACCGCUUUCAGCAGGGAAGAAACUGACGGUACCUGCAGAAGAAGGUGCGGCCAACUACGUGCCAGCAGCCGCGGUGACACGUAGGCACCAAGCGUUGUCCGGAUUUAUUGGGCGUAAAGAGCUCGUAGGCGGUUCAGUAAGUCGGGUGUGAAAACUCUGGGCUCAACCCAGAGAGGCCACCCGAUACUGCUGUGACUCGAGUACGGUAGGGGAGCGGGGAAUUCCUGGUGUAGCGGUGAAAUGCGCAGAUAUCAGGAGGAACACCAGUGGCGAAGGCGCCGCUCUGGGCCGUAACUGACGCUGAGGAGCGAAAGCGUGGGUAGCAAACAGGAUUAGAUACCCUGGUAGUCCACGCCGUAAACGUUGGGCACUAGGUGUGGGUCUCAACCAACGAGAUCCGCGCCGUCGCUAACGCAUUAAGUGCCCCGCCUGGGGAGUACGG